UGCCAGACCCCGGGGGUGGAGAGAGAUGGCCAGCUGGUUCCUUAGCACAGGGUCUCCUGUCACCGCAGGCAUCAGACACCACAGCAGGGUGACAGUCCAGCCCUAGGAGCCACAGAGGCUCCCUCCAGCUAGACUGGGACUCCGGCUGGCAGUGAUUCUGCCCCCUGCCAGGGGACGGCUGGCCUUGAUUGGGGACACCUUGGGUGUCACGAUUAGGAGGUUGCUAUUGUCCUCUGGUGAGUACAGGCCAGGGAUGUCACUAAAUGUCCUACCAUGUGCAGGACAGCCCCCUGGACAGAGGCUUAUUCAGCCCCACAGGCUGAGACGGAGAUAUGCUGCUCCUGAGGGGUGCUGUCCAGGGCAGUGGCCACCUGGACACGUGGCUGCUGAGCGCUCGCAACGCGACGGGUCCACACUGAGAAGUGCCGUCAGCUAAUACCCCCACUGUACUUCAAAAACAGCACGGAAGGACCUAAAGUAUCUCAAUAGCGACCUUUAUAUGGAGGACAGACGGGUCAAAUGAUUGGAUUAAGUAAAAACUAAUUGCGCCUGCUUGUUAUGACCCUCAGAGACCCCAGGCCACCUCUGAGACCUGCACAAGGGACAACAGAGGCCCAGGCCCAGGUGAGGCAGAAGCUGGGGCUGAGGCCAGGGCAGGAGCAGUGGAGAGGAGCCCCAGGGCUUGAUGGUAUCGGCAUGGCCCCUGUGGCCUGCGCCCCAUUUCUUUUGGACGGUGCUGGUCUAGAUUGCUCAGCCUCUCCUGGUGGCGGGGGAACCCCGAGGGCAGCUGGGGGGUGCAGAUCUUUGUGGCUGUGGCUGGUGUCUUGAGGAAGGACAAAGACUAUUGUCAUACCCCUGUGGCCUGCCAGAGGGAGAGUGAGUUGGCACCUGCUCCACUCCUGGCCUCGCCCAGGCUGGGCCUGGCUCUGCCAGGACAAACGAGGGCAGGGGGCCCUGCUCUGCUCCCCAGCCCCCACUGGAGGCACCAAGCCAGCCUUUCGGGCAGCACCCAAGUGCCCCAGCAAACAAACAGGCGGGUAUGGUGACAGCUGAGGCUUAGAGACCUGAGCACCCUGGCUCCCAGCCCAUUCCCUGGCGGUGCCCAGUGCUGAGCUGGGGGAGGAGAAAGGCCCCGGCCACUGGUGCCCGGACCACACUCCACUCUGUGUUAUGACCCUCAGAGACCCCAGGCCACCUCAGAGACCCACACAAGGGACAACAGAGGCCCAGGCCCAGGUGAGGCAGAAGCCAGGGCUAAGGCCAGGGCAGGAGGAGUGGAGAGGAGCCCCGGGGCUUGAUGGCAUCCGCAUGGCCAGUGCCUGCCGUGGAGAUGGCAGGAGACUGGCUGAGCAGGAAGCCCCGAGGAUACGCCUGUCAUCCAACAGACCACGCAGAGCCAGGUGGGGGUCUCCUGCUAUCCCAGAUUCCUGGUUCUGAUUUUCUUCUUAGGUUCACAAUUUUGACUUAAAAAAAAACCCCAAUUCUGAAUCCAUCAAGAACUCGUCUCUGUAUUUCAAAUUAAAACCUGAAGAAUGGCCUGUUAUUCCCAUAGACCAUGUUCUUUUAAAUAAUUACAAAUAGCAAAAAUUUCAAA